rnacentral:lncRNA from 1 species
AAGAGUUGUGAUACGACAUUCUAGUGUCACUUAUGUUUUACUACACCUUUAAACUCGUUUUUGACACGUGUACGACAACAUAUCAAAUUGGCGCUGUUACCGGGGACUCUUGUAGAUUUUAACCAUUAUUAUAGUCUAACCAUUAUUAUAGGUGUUGUGUUUUAGCAUUUUUUUCCCUAACUUUCUUGCGUUCCGGUCCUUUUGCGUUUUAGGAUAAAAAAAUCUAUUUUUUUAAAGAAAAUUGUCUCAAAUUAUUCUGAUUCUUU